UGGUAGAUCUGUUGGAUGAUGUUUGUAAAGCCGAACAUUUUAGUUAUGCUAUUGUUCUUGAAGUUUAAUAUUUCUUUUAUCUAAAUAUCUUCUAGCUUAUUUUACAAGUGAAAGAGUUUACAUUUAGGUACAAAACGUUAAAUGAAAACAAAUGCUUAUUAUGGACUUAUGAUCCAGUUAUACAUUUCUAAGGCUAAAACAAGUUCCUUUCAAAACAUAUCCCUUAAUGAUCACUCUGCUGAGAUUCUUUGUGUUAUAUGUGUAUCAGUUGUAAAGUUUCUAAAAUAAGUACAAAUGUAUUAAGAAUUUGUAGUGAAACUCUUCUCAAGAUAUUAUAUCUUGACAGGUAUGUCAAGAUAUAUUGACAGGUGUGUUAAUAUAGUGGACACUUGGUCCUUAUUGAUUGGAUGAAUGGAUUUAUAAGGCAGAGGAUUUUCCACUUGGUAUGAUGGCUGAAAUACCAUGAUAAGAUAUCGGGCAUUAGCUCCUACACUACUCAUCACUGGACGCCUGUGAAACGGGGUAUACAUUUUAUUUAUUAUUCCUUCUCCCUGUCUUCCCUAGUUCCAAACCAGCUCUGACACUUUGGUCUGAAUUGGGGUUGGUCAGUCUGUUUCCACCACUGACCAUACAGACCAUCUCUAAGGUGGCUGACCCAGGAGUUUUAUUAGACUAGGCCUAGAGGCACUGGCCUAAUUGGACUUCUUUGCUUGGGGCUGCUGAGUAGGGUUUGCAAGUGAAGUGAUGACCAGGCCAGAGGGAACCCCACAGGACCACUCAGACUGGAAGGGAUCUGUUGGAUGAUCUACAUAUUCCAUGCUGUAGGGGCUGGAGUGAUGUUAGAGAAAUCUGCGGUCACUGGACACUUUGAAGUGUGGCUCCUUGGGGAUACGCUGCUGCGUGUUUUCCAGGGGUCACUGAUCUGUGCUGCGAAGCUGCCUCAGUGUUUCAGCAGCUUUCACUAUUGAAAGGAACAUGAGGAAAUUACUGAAAGAGAAAUAUUAGAAAAGCCUCCCAUCAUUAAUUCAUGACUUCAUCAUGUUUUACCUUAAGGCUUGGAAACUGACAGAGGCCUGAUUCUGAAGGUUUUGAAGAUUGAAGUCGAAGUUAAUAGUGAAAGUCACCUAUACACAAAAUGAAAAUUCAUCAAUCUAUGACGCUUUGUGCUCCGGGACCAACAUGAAAAAAAAAAGUGGCCCAUAAAAGUAAACUCACUCCCAUUUGAUUCUGAAUUUUAUAAACCUUAAGCUUUAUAAUUUGUAGAAUAUCUAUGUAUUUGUCCACCUUGCCUUACCUUCAGAAUAGAACUGAAUUCACCUGACAUAUAUAUACAACACAUCACAGGCACUUACACUUAUCUGAAUUUGAAGGCUUUGUGCUGAUGUAAAAUUUGCUUACCAGGGGUUAAAAAUGAUAUCCAUGACUCUGUAAAGCACUUUGACCAGUGUUGGUCAAUGUGUUCAGAAAUAAAGAACUUUCUAUAUCAUGUGUGCCUUUGGGAAUGAACUGCACAGGGGAAAAUCCCACUUUUAUUAAUAACUUAAAACAUGCAGAUAUUUAAAAACUUCCUCUAAAUAUGCAGGCAACGUUGAUAGUCAAAUGGAUAAAGAAGAUGUGGCACAUAUAUACAAUGGAAUAUUACUCA